GCCGGGUGUGGUGGUGUGCGCCUGUAAUCCCAGCUACUUGGGAGGCUGAGGUAGGAGAAUCACUUGAACACAGGAGGCUGAGGUUGCAGUGAGCCAAGAUCGUGCCACUGCACUUCAGCCUGGGCAACAGAGGGAGACCUAGUCUCAG
rnacentral:SRP_RNA from 1 species